rnacentral:piRNA from 1 species
ACUAUAUCACUGUAGGCACAUGAU